UGGGAGGGGAAUGAUUUGGGUGGAAAUGAUUAAAUGUAGAGUUUAAGUUAAUGAGAUAAAAACAAUAGUUUAAUUAAGGUGUUUAAAAACAAAAGUAAGGGUAAUUUAGUAAAAUCACCCUUAAAAACUUACUAAAAAAGGAAAAAAAAAUUGUUGCGAGUAAUGUGAAACAUCCAUAUUUAGUAAUUGUUGCGAGUAAUAUGAAACGGAGGGAGUAUAUAGAAUCAGGAUCAUGUGAGAACCUAGGUGUAUAAUAAGAACUAAUAACUAAUUUACACCGUCGAUCGCGAUUCAUCUAACGGCCGAAAUUCUACCCGCCUCAUUAAGGGCAAAAUAGAACAAUCGGCGCUUUGAAUGACCACCCAUACAUUUCCGGCGUUUCCUUUUCACUUUCUCUCUCAUCUUCAUGCUUUCUCUCUCUUCUCUUGAAUUCUCUUUGCUGCGAUUUUACUUCUUCGAUUUCGCAUAUGAAAAUCUUUGAUUCGGUCUGUGAAUUCUUCGAUUAGCUAUAAUCUAGUUAUUUUGGAGAGGUGAAUAUUUUGAUUUUUUCUUUGUUCAUGGCUUGCUAUUUUUAAACAGGUGUAAUAAAUUGAUUUAUUUGCUUCAAUCUACUAACUUCAAUUGCUUUUUGUAGGCUGCAAACAGGCUAGACAAAAAAGAACUGAGUCUAAUCUGUACUCUGAGUUAGGCAUCUUGGUUUUGCAAGAAUAUGAGAGUCCAUCAAGAACCAAUGUCUGACCCCUGCAUUGUGGUUGAGUGCUUCUGUCUUGCCAAGGUUGCUGCAGCUAUUGCCCUGCCAUGGCUUGCUGCUUCUGCCACCUACUGUUGCUAUGCUACUUUUUCUCUACCGCCUACUGCUGCUAUGCUACUUCUUCUCUACCGCCUGCUAAUGCGAAUAUGUGAAAGCCUUGUAUAGUCGUAUUAUAUUUUUGGAUGAAUUUUGUAAUAUUACAGAAGUUGAGUGUUAAUAUAAAUAUCCAAGUUUAUAUAUAUCUUGCAUCAAUGCAUUAACUCACCUUGAUAAAAACCUUUAUAAUUCACAGUUAUAAAUCAGGUUAUAUAUUUUUUUAUU